CCUACGGGGGGCUGCAGUGGGGAAUAUUGGACAAUGGGGGCAACCCUGAUCCAGUCAUGCCGCGUGUGUGAAGAAGGCCCUCGGGUUGUAAAGCACUUUCAGUGAGGAAGAACGCCUGGUGGUUAAUACCCAUCAGGAAAGACAUCACUCACAGAAGAAGCACCGGCUAACUCCGUGCCAGCAGCCGCGGUAAUACGGAGGGUGCGAGCGUUAAUCGGAAUUACUGGGCGUAAAGCGCGCGUAGGUGGCUUGAUAAGCCGGUUGUGAAAGCCCCGGGCUCAACCUGGGAACGGCAUCCGGAACUGUCAAGCUAGAGUGCAGGAGAGGAAGGUAGAAUUCCCGGUGUAGCGGUGAAAUGCGUAGAGAUCGGGAGGAAUACCAGUGGCGAAGGCGGCCUUCUGGACUGACACUGACACUGAGGUGCGAAAGCGUGGGUAGCAAACAGGAUUAGAUACCCGAGUAGUC
rnacentral:rRNA from 1 species